rnacentral:rRNA from 1 species
AUUGAACGCUGGCGGCAUGCCUUACACAUGCAAGUCGAACGGCAGCACGGGGGCAACCCUGGUGGCGAGUGGCGAACGGGUGAGUAAUGCAUCGGAACGUGCCCAGUAGUGGGGGAGUAACUAGUCGAAAGAUUAGCUAAUACCGCAUACGACCUAUGGGUGAAAGCGGGGGAUUCGCAAGAACCUCGCGCUAUCGGAGCGGCCGAUGUCUGAUUAGCUAGUUGGCGGGGUAAAAGGCCCACCAAGGCUUCGAUCAGUAGCUGGUCUGAGAGGACGACCAGCCACACUGGGACUGAGACACGGCCCAGACUCCUACGGGAGGCAGCAGUGGGGAAUUUUGGACAAUGGGCGCAAGCCUGAUCCAGCCAUGCCGCGUGCGGGAAGAAGGCCUC